rnacentral:rRNA from 1 species
UACGGAGGGAGCUAGCGUUGUUCGGAAUUACUGGGCGUAAAGCGCACGUAGGCGGCUUUGUAAGUUAGAGGUGAAAGCCCGGGGCGUCAACUCCGGAAGUUGCCUUUAAGACUGCAUCGCUUGAAUCCAGGAGAGGUGAGUGGAAUUCCGAGUGUAGAGGUGAAAUUCGUAGAUAUUCGGAAGAACACCAGUGGCGAAGGCGGCUCACUGGACUGGGUAUUGACGCUGAGGUGCGAAAGCUGGGGGA